GACAUAGGUGGCGAACGUUAUCCGGAAUUAUUGGGCGUAAAGAGCGUGUAGGCGGCCAUACAGGUCCGUUGUGAAAACUGGAGGCUUAACCUCCAGACGUCGAUGGAAACCGUAUGGCUAGAGUCCGGAAGAGGAGAGUGGAAUUCCUGGUGUAGCGGUGAAAUGCGCAGAUAUCAGGAAGAACACCCGUGGCGAAGGCGGCUCUCUGGGACGGUACUGACGCUGGGGAGCGAAAGCGUGGGGAGCGAACAGG
rnacentral:rRNA from 1 species